CUAAGAGAGUCUGAAGAAAAACUAAAGCAACAACAGCAGGAGUCUGCACGCAGGGAAAACAUCCUUGUAAUGCGACUAGCAACCAAGGAACAAGAGAUGCAAGAGUGUACUACUCAAAUCCAGUACCUCAAGCAAGUCCAGCAGCCGAGCGUUGCCCAACUGAGAUCAACAAUGGUAGACCCAGCGAUCAACUUGUUUUUCCUAAAAAUGAAAGGUGAACUGGAACAGACUAAAGACAAACUGGAACAAGCCCAAAAUGAACUGAGUGCCUGGAAGUUUACGCCUGAUAGGUAAACAAAUCAUACUCCCCAGUCAAGACUUCCCUGACAGUCCCACUACGAGAAAGCUGUGGUGGGACAGCCAAGUACUCGUUUCCACACCAAGACUCAGACUUUUUGAGCCAAAAAAAAGCCACAUUCUUACACUGUCCAGCUUGUAAUGGUUAAUGUAAAACUUACCAGAUGAACCUUGUGUUUCAGCUUUUUUCUUUUCCCCUUCCCCUUGCUUCAGAGGCCUGAUGGCGUCGGACUAUUCCGAAGAAGUGGCCACCUCCGAAAAAUUCCCCUUCUAGAACAUGUAGACACUUGAGAAAUGUUUCUGUUUGAAGAAAAUAGAGGGAGAAACAGAAGUCUUAAGUCUGUGGCACACUGUGUCUUCAGACAGUUUGAAGGAAUGAAAACCUAGAGAUUUUAAAUCAUGAAUUGAACAUGUAAAAUUCCAGUAAAAUGUAAAAACGGAAUAUGCAUCGCUCUUAACCUUGAGCAUAGUGACUUAGAGACACUGUGUAUCAGUUUUGCCAAUAAGACUGUGGACUUCAUGAUUGUUGUUGAACUUCUGGGUCAAAACUCAAAUGAGGUGAAUUUUGCCUUUAAAGGGUUUAUUUGCUGAGAACCAACUUUCAAUAGUCAUGAGAGAAUCAAAUAAUAGAUGUCCGUACAAGUAGCGCAUAUAUUUAACCAUUUAGUUUGGGGCUCUAUAUUACUUGCUUGAGCCUUAAUCAAUGUGGUUUUAUUCAAUGGUUUGUUCUUUGAAUGGUUGCAAAAACUGUAGAUAAUCUUACUGAGGACUGUACAAACAUGAAGGUGUGGUAUCAAACUUCAGGUUGAAACUGUUUGAAGCAUUAUAAACAUUCAUUUCACAACUAGAUUGUAUAAGGAUAUUAGCUGUGAUGAGACUCACUGCAUUAUUUUUUUUAGUGAAUUUUAUGAAAUCCCCGUUCCAUUCAACAGGCACAUGUUUAAAAGAGCUUUGUCGUUGGUGUUAAUGGGGGAAUGUGUUCCUUCAUUGUAUUUGGGCCUUUUGUAUUGCACUCUUGAUAUUAAAUUAAAUGUGCCU
rnacentral:lncRNA from 1 species